rnacentral:tRNA from 1 species
UAAAUUGAAGCACAAAUUGUGUAUUUAACUGUUAAUUAAAAGGAUUUUCUUAAGAAACAAUUUAA